AGCAUUUUUAAAAGUCAGAAACUAUUUUUAAUCAAUUAAAAAUGAAUAAAAAUAAUCUAAUUGAACUAAAAUCUCAAAUAAAUCUUAAAUCAAUUCAAAAAUUGAUGAGAAUAUUUUUCAUAGAUCCAUCAUCAUUCAAAUAGAUUAGGAAAAUAUUUUUGUAUUUUUUGAAUAUCAAAAACUAUUUAAAAUGAAUUAAAAAUAACCAGAAAAGAGAAAAUUCACAAAAAAUA
rnacentral:lncRNA from 1 species